UGCCAGCACAAAGCUUGAAAACAGACCCAAAAAUUUUGAAAGUUAAAAAAUGAGGAGGGAGUUGGAAAAUGGAAUAGCAGAGGCAAAGAGGUAGGUGAGAGGACAUUGUAAGUAAUUCCUCUCUUUCUCUCUCUCUUUGUCAUUUGAUACCCCAAAAAGAGUUUCACAUGCACCAAUCAAAAUCGGAAUCAAGCGCGAACGAAGGUCUUCGGAAAACUCCGUCACGGCCGGACAAUCAAAAUCUAGGACGACCAUGAGUGAUGAUGGAGAGAGGACGUGCCCCCUCUGUGCGGAGGAGAUGGACCUCACUGACCAACAACUGAAACCUUGCAAAUGUGGAUAUGAGUUCUCAAUUCGACGGUGUUGUGCUCGAUGAGGAUAGUGGGGGUGUGCGGGAGCCAGUACAGCAGUGCUUGUGGGAUUGUCAGGUGUUGGUUUUCAGGGAAGCACGCCUACUUGGAGGGGAUUCCGACGAGUUGGGGAGCACACACGGCGUUGCUGGAGGAGUUGUAGGAGGAGUUUGGGUUUUUGAGGGUGAAGAGGGUGAUGGUGGUUUGUAGGGUGGUGGCGGGGAGGGUGGCGCAUGGCGCACUGCAGUGGUUUGACUGUGUAUUGUAUUUUAUAUAUCAAUUGCUUUAACUUUUGUUUGCAGAUGUCUCAACCACAACUAUAGUAGGACCUGACCUAGUUAUAGACUUUCUCAAAUUGAUUGGUCAAAAAUUGAUAGGCAAAACGGAUACUGAAGAAUUUAAGGAUAAAAGCUCCUUCUUCAAACACAGAGUAUAGGAUUGUUGGUUUGAGUGAACUGCCCUGCAAUCAUCAAUUGUGAUGAGACAUCCAGAGACUGGGACAAAGCAUGGUCAAGUUUCAGAAAUAAAGGGAAGAAAUCAGCAAUGAGAAAAAUUACCUCCCUCUAAUGCUUGUUUGAGUUUUAUUUUUCCACAUGAUUACUAGGAUGUUCUGAUCAAUGCCUACAUAGAUUGUUCUUUUAUGGAUUAGAGUGUUUAUGUUCGUUUGGCAGUUGACUUUGGAUGCUUAUGAGCUUUUCUAUAAAAGUGUAUGGUUUUGUGUUCUGGUUCAUCACCAGUCUUUUUGUAACUCUUUGGUAAAUUGACCAGACUUUUUGAUCUA